GAUCCCAUCAGAACUCCGAAGUUAAGUGUGCAUGGGCGGGAGUAGUCCUAGGAUGGGUGACCUCCUGGGAAGUCCUCGUGUUGCACCC
rnacentral:rRNA from 1 species